GGACCAUCAUGUCGGUCGUGCCUCGGUACGUACUGGUAUCGUUGGUUUCUCCCUUCUGACGAACCAUGAUGUCAUUUAUUUGGUGUCGUGGGAAAUCAGGACUGUUACUUUGAAAAAUUAGAGUGUUUAAAGCAGGCUCACGCUUGAAUACAUUAGCAUGGAAUAAUGAAAUAGGACGUUUAAUUCUAUUUUGUUGGUUUCUAGGAUUGACGUAAUGAUUAA
rnacentral:rRNA from 1 species